rnacentral:rRNA from 1 species
AGUGAACGCUGGCGGUAGGCCUAACACAUGCAAGUCGAACGGCAGCACAGUAAGAGCUUGCUCUUACGGGUGGCGAGUGGCGGACGGGUGAGGAAUACAUCGGAAUCUACUUUUUCGUGGGGGAUAACGUAGGGAAACUUACGCUAAUACCGCAUACGACCUACGGGUGAAAGCAGGGGAUCUUCGGGCCUUGCGCGAUUGAAUGAGCCGAUGUCGGAUUAGCUAGUUGGCGGGGUAAAGGCCCACCAAGGCGACGAUCGGUAGCUGGUCUGAGAGGAUGAUCAGCCACACUGGAACUGAGACACGGUCCAGACUCCUACGGGAGGCAGCAGUGGGGAAUAUUGGACAAUGGGCGCAAGCCUGAUCCAGCCAUACCGCGUGGGUGAAGAAGGCCUUCGGGUUGUAAAGCCCUUUUGUUGGGAAAGAAAAGCAGCAGGUUAAUACCCCGCUGUUCUGACGGUACCCAAAGAAUAAGCACCGGCUAACUUCGUG